rnacentral:rRNA from 1 species
AACGAACGCUGGCGGCGUGCUUAACACAUGCAAGUCGAACGCGAAAGGGACUUCGGUCCUGAGUAAAGUGGCGCACGGGUGAGUAACGCGUGGAUAAUCUGCCCAAUGGACUGGGAUAACAUCUCGAAAGGGGUGCUAAUACCGGAUAAGACCACGGAGUCUUCGGACUCUGCGGUCAAAGGUGGGGACCUUCGGGCCUACCGGCAUUGGAUGAGUCCGCGUACCAUUAGCUAGUUGGUGGGGUAAAGGCCUACCAAGGCGACGAUGGUUAGCUGGUCUGAGAGGAUGAUCAGCCACACUGGAACUGAGGCACGGUCCAGACUCCUACGGGAGGCAGCAGUGGGGAAUGUUGCGCAAUGGGGGAAACCCUGACGCAGCAACGCCGCGUGAGUGAUGAAGGCCUUCGGGUCGUAAAGCUCUGACAGAGGGGAAGAAAUGUAGCGGUGCUAAUAUCGCCGUUACUUGACGGUACCCUCAAGGGAAGCACCGGCUAACUCCGUGCCAGCAGCCGCAGUAA